rnacentral:rRNA from 1 species
UACGAAGGGGGCUAGCGUUGCUCGGAAUCACUGGGCGUAAAGCGCACGUAGGCGGAUUGCUAAGUCAGGGGUGAAAUCCUGGAGCUCAACUCCAGAACUGCCUUUGAUACUGGCGACCUUGGAGUCCGGGAGAGGUGAGUGGAACUGCGAGUGUAGAGGUGAAAUUCGUAGAUAUUCGCAAGAACACCAGUGGCGAAGGCGGCUCACUGGCCCGGUACUGACGCUGAGGUGCGAAAGCGUGGG